rnacentral:rRNA from 1 species
AUCAACGCUGGCGGCGUGCCUCAGACAUGCAAGUCGAACGCGAAAGUCCCCUUCGGGGGACAAGUAGAGUGGCGCACGGGUGAGUAACACGUAGGUAAUCUACCUUUGGAUGGGGAAUAACAACCGGAAACGGUUGCUAAUACCGCAUAAUGCAGCGGCACCUAAUGGUGACAGUUGUUAAAGCGGGGGAUUGAAAGACCUCGCGUCUGAAGAGGAGCCUGCGGCGGAUUAGCUUGUUGGAAGGUAACGGCUUACCAAGGCGACGAUCCGUAGCCGGCCUGAGAGGGCGGUCGGCCACACUGACACUGACAUACGGGCAGACUCCUACGGGAGGCAGCAGUCGGAAUUUUGGGCAAUGGGCGAAAGCCUGACCCAGCAACGCCGCGUGAAGGAUGAAAU